rnacentral:rRNA from 1 species
AUUGAACGCUAGCGGCAGGCCUAACACAUGCAAGUCGAGGGAGAGGUUAUCUUCGGGUAACCAAAACCGGCGCACGGGUGCGUAACGCGUGGGAAUCUACCUUUUGCUACGGAAUAGCUCCGGGAAACUGGAAUUAAUACCGUAUGUGCCCUUAGGGGGAAAGAUUUAUCGGCAAGAGAUGAGCCCGCGUUGGAUUAGCUAGUUGGUGGGGUAAAGGCCUACCAAGGCGACGAUCCAUAGCUGGUCUGAGAGGAUGAUCAGCCACAUUGGGACUGAGACACGGCCCAAACUCCUACGGGAGGCAGCAGUGGGGAAUAUUGGACAAUGGGCGCAAGCCUGAUCCAGCCAUGCCGCGUGAGUGAUGAAGGCCUUAGGGUUGUAAAGCUCUUUCACCGGAGAAGAUAAUGACGGUAUCCGGAGAAGAAGCCCCGGCUAACUUCGUGCCAGCAGCCGCGGUAAUACGAAGGGGGCUAGCGUUGUUCGGAAUGACUGGGCGUAAAGCGCACGUAGGCGGACAUUUAAGUCAGGGGUGAAAUCCCGGGGCUCAACCUCGGAACUGCCUUUGAUACUGGGUGUCUGGAGUGUGGAAGAGGUGAGUGGAAUUCCGAGUGUAGAGGUGAAAUUCGUAGAUAUUCGGAGGAACACCAGUGGCGAAGGCGGCUCACUGGUCCACAACUGACGCUGAGGUGCGAAAGCGUGGGGAGCAAACAGG